CAGCAGCCACGGUAAUACGUAGGUCCCGAGCGUUGUCCGGAUUUAUUGGGCGUAAAGCGAGCGCAGGCGGCUAGAUAAGUCUGAAGUUAAAGGCUGUGGCUUGACCAUAGUACGCUUUGGAAACUGUUUAACUUGAGUGCAAGAGGGGAGAGUGGAAUUCCAUGUGUAGCGGUGAAAUGCGUGGAUAUAUGGAGGAACACCGGUGGCGAAAGCGGCUCUCUGGCUUGUAACUGACGCUGAGGCUCGAAAGCGUGGGGAGCAAACAGGAUUAGAUACCCCGGUAGUCCCUGUCUCUUAUACA
rnacentral:rRNA from 1 species